CUCGAUUUAAUAUCCACAUUUAAAAAUUGAUAAAUUCAAAUAAUGGUAAAUCACAUCUCAAGAUACCUAGUGCAAUAUCAAUAUCAAUUCUUUGGAUAGUAAUAUUAAUUGUAAGCGGUACUUUUAGUGUAGUGGUCAAACAUUAACAAUAACUCCUGUCAAAUAAUAAACACAUCUUUGGAUUGAUUUAUUAGUCACAUGGAAACCUUAUAAUUGUCACACAUUCAUCACCACAAGUGUGUAUGUAAUUCGGCCAGAUAUUAACCUUCCUUUGGGUCGGCUAAUUUCCACAUGAAAAGAUACACACACAACAUCCAAGCAUCCUAAACAAACCAAUUUACACAAAAGAGGUCACUUUGGUGACAUAUUGUUUCAAUUAGUUUACUUAAAAUGCUUGACAACCUUAUUAUUUUUUUUUUAUAUUAAUGAUUACCAAAAUUUUGAAUUAGAUUGUCACAAAUAAUUAAACGUUAACUAAUACCUCUUAAAGAAGUAUUAGUACCGAAAUUUGAGAAAGAGAAACCCCAAUUUGCAUCAAUAGAUACCUAUGAAAACU
rnacentral:lncRNA from 1 species